rnacentral:rRNA from 1 species
GGCGGCGUGCCUAAUACAUGCAAGUCGAACGCGUCUCCGUUAAUGAUUUUAGGUGCUUGCACUUGAAAGAUUUAACAUUGAGACGAGUGGCGAACUGGUGAGUAACACGUGGGUAACCUGCCCUUGAAGUAGGGGAUAACACUUGGAAACAGGUGCUAAUACCGUAUAACAACCAAAACCACCUGGUUUUGGUUUAAAAGACGGCUUCGGCUGUCACUUUAGGAUGGACCCGCGGCGUAUUAGCUUGUUGGUAAGGUAACGGCUUACCAAGGCGAUGAUACGUAGCCGACCUGAGAGGGUAAUCGGCCACAUUGGGACUGAGACACGGCCCAAACUCCUACGGGAGGCAGCAGUAGGGAAUCUUCCACAAUGGACGAAAGUCUGAUGGAGCAACGCCGCGUGAGUGAUGAAGGGUUUCGGCUCGUAAAACUCUGUUGUUGGAGAAGAACAGGUGUCAGAGUAACUGUUGACAUCUUGACGGUAUCCAACCAGAAAGCCACGGCUAACUACGUGCCAGCAGCCGCGGUAAUACGUAGGUGGCAAGCGUUGUCCGGAUUUAUUGGGCGUAAAGCGAGCGCAGGCGGUUUUUUAGGUCUGAUGUGAAAGCCUUCGGCUUAACCGGAGAAGUGCAUCGGAAACCGGGAGACUUGA